AGUGUGUUAAAACUCCGACUAAACACCAAGUUAAACCGGAGCCAAUGAAGACAGAGUCGUAAUACGCGGGUAUCAAGAUUCCUGAUGAAGGGUCUUGGUCCGAAAUGUUGAUUCCCAUCCAUAGAUGCUGCCUGACAUGCUGAAAGUCACGAAACAAAGAAAGAACACGAAAGACGUCCAGAGAGAAAAAUCAAACUCCCAGCCCACCCCCGUAUAAAAAAACGGCAUCCCGAUCAUCAACCCCCAAAACCCACCCCUCCCGCACAAAAGGGAACGAUAACAUCGACCCCCCCCCCAAAAAAAACAACCCUACCCCGCACAACUGCGGAGGAUCUGGUGUCACCAGUGUCGAGGCGGCCGCAUCGGGAGCAGCGGACACAACGGGCGACCCCGGAAGAUUCACAGGUGAAGUGUCGCCUCACCUGGAAGGAUGUUUGGACAACGGAGAGAGUUCGGCCGUCCGGCCCUUUCACUGUGACACCCCGAACUCCACAUCAAAUCCGUCCAAACGAAUCUGGGCGAACUUUAAUGACCAAUAAAUAUAAUUCCUCUCAGCGAUCAGCUGUCUGAGUGAUCCCCUGACUCUGAGAGGAAGGGGUGUCUAUGGUCCACAUUGUCAGGGUGUUGAGUUUACCAGGAGACAGAGA